UCCGACAGGCUGUUCACCCACCAGACAUGAGACUGGAGAACAUGUGAAUCUAAUAAUUGUGAUUGAUGAUUUGGUGGCAUGUGAGUGGGUGAGACUAAAUGUCAGAUUGGUACGAGUAGAUCCACCAAAGGGCGAGGUCUAGGAUGCCAGGAGAUGAGCGAAUUUGUAAUUUGAGGCAGGAGGGAAGUGGUAAAGGACAGGUCUAGGAGGAGGAGCAUCAGGGAUUGUCUUGAGGCUAGAUCAUUUGUCACUUUGCAUAGACUACUGUCUUGUGUGUGUUUUUCUAGUGUUAUUUUUCUCUCUCUAAAAUUUUGACUUUUAGGCUCACAGACCAGUUGUGCAUAAGAACAUCCCAUCAGUCAACGAUCAGCUUAAAGUCAUCAAGCACUUAGUAAGAGUCAAGCCGUUGAAACUACCUUAUGGACUUCCAACAGAGGAGGACAUGUUGGACACUUACCUGAACAGCUUAGGCCAGCUGGUGAUUUGUAAAAAGCUGGAGCCAAUUGACAUGAAAUCAAUUGAAUCAUAAUGUGUGUCAUUCCUGUUAUUUGUAAAAUAAAGCAAUUUUGUAUAGUG